UACGGAGGGGGCAAGCGUUGUCCGGACUUACUGGGCGUAAAGGGCGCGUAGGCGGCCUUCUAAGUCGAACGUGAAAUCCCCGGGCUCAACCCGGGAACUGCGUCCGAGACUGGAAGGCUUGAAUCCGGGAGAGGGAUGUGGAAUUCCAGGUGUAGCGGUGAAAUGCGUAGAUAUCGGGAGGAAUACCGAUGGCGAAGGCAGGUCUCUGGGCUGACACUGACGCUCAUGCACGAAAGCGUGGGGAGCAAACAGG
rnacentral:rRNA from 1 species